CCUACGGGAGGCAGCAGUGGGGAAUUUUGGACAAUGGGCGCAAGCCUGAUCCAGCAAUGCCGCGUGAGUGAAGAAGGCCUUCGGGUUGUAAAGCUCUUUUGUCAGGGAAGAAACGGUGAGUUCUAAUACAGCUUGCUAAUGACGGUACCUGAAGAAUAAGCACCGGCUAACUACGUGCCAGCAGCCGCGGUAAUACGUAGGGUGCAAGCGUUAAUCGGAAUUACUGGGCGUAAAGCGUGCGCAGGCGGUUUUGUAAGUUUGUCGUGAAAUCCCCGGGCUCAACCUGGGAAUGGCGAUGAAGACUGCAAGGCUAGAGUUUGGCAGAGGGGGGUAGAAUUCCACGUGUAGCAGUGAAAUGCGUAGAUAUGUGGAGGAACACCGAUGGCGAAGGCAGCCCCCUGGGUCAAAACUGACGCUCAUGCACGAAAGCGUGGGGAGCAAACAGGAUUAGAUACCCUGGUAGUCCACGCCCUAAACGAUGUCUACUGGUUGUCGGGUCUUAAUUGACUUGGUAACGCAGCUAACGCGUGAAGUAGGCCGCCUGGGGGAGGUACGGUCGCGAGAAGUUAAACGUAACAAAGAAGUAGUAGACGCGAGAGAGACGACGACGACGACGACGGAGGGAGGAGG
rnacentral:rRNA from 1 species